CAGAGCACCUCUGAAAGGAAGAGGAGUUCCAAGAAAGUGAGGCAGGGAAGCAGUGGUAUGCCUUCUUCCUACUGAGACAGAAGUUAAGUAAGAGGCUUUGGGUCAAGACUGUGACUGGAUUCAAAUCCUAAAGUUUUCGCUACACUGUGUGCUGUGGAUACUAAAAAAUCUGCAACAAAGAGAUGAAGAUUAAGAAAAAUUGUCAAGAAGGAAGGAAAAUUGUACCUACCCCUCGAAGAAUUCAUGAGGUGCUUGAGCAGACUACUUUGACCUCUUCUCAAACCUGCUAAGUGUGGACACACAAUAAAAGCACUUUUGGUGCAGAUAAACUGGA